AGACCAGGUGUGGGCGAUUAACCCCUCUUUGUCUGAUUCUGGUAGCUGUGUUUGUGUUCAGGUAAGAGAGCGCUGGAUAGAAACUCCUGAUGAUUCAAGUUUGGUCAGAAGUUUAAUGACUUCUUCCGUGUUUAGAAGUGGAAAGCUGUUUGCUGAUUUGCUGUGACUGUAGGUGGACGAUAAAUCCUGAUUUUCUUCAUGAGGUUGUCGGCUCAUCACUGAUAACAGUCUUCAUUUUCUAGGAGGUCUGUCCUAGUCUCUCUCUCCUGUGUGAACCACAAUAUCCAGCCUGUUGACUCUCCCUGAUCAGGGCCCAGACUGAGCGAGGUCACACACUGACAUGGUCACGUAUUAUUAUUAUCCUCUGAGGAGUUUUAGGUCGGUCCAUGAUUUUCUCCGAUGUUUCCUUCAUUUCAGAGACUUGGAUAUUUGUGUCUAGCUCAGCUGAUAUUUUGUGUUUUGCAGCUUGUGUAAGACGGAGAAUACCUGGCUGUGAAAUCCAGGACCUGCAUUAGUCUGGGGAAAAAAUCGUCUUUGUUCAAGCCAAGACGAUUAAUCUGUGGGUUCUGUGACAGGAUCUCCCCACAGUAAGUAUACUGUUGAAGUAUUUUAAUUAGGAUUGUUAUUAUACAUUUUUAAAGUAGGAGGUAUUUGUUUUUGUUAUUUAUGAACCUAACCUGUGGAAAUAAAAUGAUUGUUGUACCUGACGUUCUUUCCUCUUUCUUUUCAGUAUUUUUUAGCAGCUUUAAAUAAACAAAUCUUUCCUGUG